UACGUGGGGUGCAAGCGUUAAUCGGAAUUACUGGGCGUAAAGCGUACGCAGGCGGCUUUGCAAGACAGGUGUGAAAUCCCCGGGCCUAACCUGGGAACUGCAUUUGUGACUGCAUGGCUAGAGUUUGUCAGAGGGGGGUGGAAUUCCACGUGUAGCAGUGAAAUGCGUAGAUAUGUGGAGGAACACCGAUGGCGAAGGCAGCCCCCUGGGAUGUGACUGACGCUCAUGUACGAAAGCGUGGGGAGCAAACAGG
rnacentral:rRNA from 1 species